CCACCGCGCGCCCCGGCUCACUUUGGGAUUUCUCCAUUAAAUCCUCAGGCAGCGACCUGCUCCAACGUUGCUUGGCAAUUUUGAUAUCGUCGAGUGUUGCCAUGGGGAGGAGAGUGAUGUCAUUGACAUAAAAAAAAAAAAAACCAAACCCACUGAAUUUACAAAUCAGCUGGGGCUGGAGCUAUUUAUAAAAGCCUUUUCCCCUGCCUUCCUUCACUGAGCGGGAGGAGAGGAUGAGCUGCCUGCCGGAAUCAGGGGGCGCCUCCCCCAGCCCCGCAGCCAGACCUCCCAGGCUCCCCACCCCCGCAGCGCUGCGGGAUUCAGACCUGGCUGGCCCUGACCACAGCUGGGCUGAGCUCCCUUGCCGGGUCUCAGCUGGUUUUGCUGUGAGUGGCACACAGGGAGUGCUGGGCAGCGCGAACGCUGGCGUCCUGGGUUUGCAGGGACCAGUGAAACCAGCCACUCAACCGCCCCGUACGAAUCAUGCCCCCUCCCCCGUCAGAAACCAGGGCGUGUGCAGGUUGUAGAAAGGGGAGUGUGUGAUCUGCCAGCCUUUGGAGAAAAUUCUGCGAAGCUUGACUGCCUGUUGCUCCUGGGCCAGUGGUGUGCCCUGUGCCCUUCUUUAUCCCAGUGGACUCACCUCUCUGCGCCUCCCAGUACGCUGUGAGCGCUCUAGGGCAGGAAUCCCAGCAUGGUGCUUGGCUCACAGGAGAUGCUCAUGCAAAUGAGCAUCUUUGUUGAAUGAAUGAAUGAAUGACUGAAUGAACAUCUGAAGAGGUUCUGUGCUCUGGCCACCCCUACUUGGACUAUGGUGAAUUAUGGAGCUGAGAGGAAUUCUAGGGUCAUCAACCCCACCCCUCUUUCCAGGUGAAGACGACCUAAUGUAAACCACCUCCAAACCCUGUCACAGCACGAUGGCUUCCAGGACACCCCAACCCAGUUGGCCCUCAAUCCCGCUGUGUCCUGACACACCUGCUCCUCUCCUUCGGUUUCUGGUCAUGGCUUACUGAGAUGUCCUUUGACCUACUUUUCUUUAUUGUCUUGGCUUUUAACCUGUAAUAUCCUGUUUCUCUAAAUUAUAAACGUUCUGAAGGGAGUAAGCAUGCCUUAUAUUUCUUUACAUCCUUACUGGAGCUCUAGUAGAGCUUAAUAAAUAUUUAUCGGCUAACCUUCUUUGACACAUUUAGAGAUAUUUUCUGGUACAUGGACACGGUAAAUUAAGGCGUCAACAGGUAGCAGCUGGAAGCCUGACUAAAUAACAAUGCUAGGCAUUUCAAUAGUGUUUAGA